GUUACCUUAGCUCAGUUGGUUAGAAUGUAGUGCUGAUAACGCCAAGGUUUUGGGUUCAAUGCCCAUGCAGGCCCCCUGCA